CAGAAACAAAGAAGAGUGUCCAGUGAUCUGGAGGCUUUCUUGAUCUACUUAGGUGACUCUUCAUACAAAUCACGGACUACCAGUCUGAAUGGGAGAAGUUGGACUUCUGCAGUUGGUGGCUACCUGCAAAAUAAAUAGCAAAACAUUGAGUGGCUCACUGAAUUUCAACAUCCAAUGAAGAAAUUUUUACUCAAAGAAAGAAGACUCAUGCUGUAAAUGGUAUUACCAUCUUAUGGGCUGAGGUCAAAGGCUCAAUAACGAGAAGAAAAUAAACCAGGAGUCUCUUCCCUCUGCUUCCUGACUGGAUAUAUGACCAAAUGAUUCAUACUCUUGCCCCCAUGAUUUCUUUGUCAUAGUGGACUGUACUCCCCAAUUGUGAGUCAAAAUAAAUCUAUUCUUCCUUAA